UGGGGAAUCUUGGACAAUGGGGGCAACCCUGAUCCAGCGACGCCGCGUGGGUGGUAAGGCCUUCGGGUUGUAAAGCCCUUUCACCGGGGAAGAUGAUGACAUUACCCGGGGAAGAAGCGCCGGCUAACUCCGUGCCAGCAGCCGCGGUAAGACGGAGGGCGCUAGCGUUGUUCGGAAUCACUGGGCGUAAAGGGCGCGUAGGCGGCGCGUUAAGUCGGGGGUGAAAGCCCGGGGCUCAACCUCGGAACGGCCCUCGAGACUGGCGUGCUGGAGACCGGAAGAGGAGGGUGGAAUACCCAGUGUAGAGGUGAAAUUCGUAGAUAUUGGGUGGAACACCAGUGGCGAAAGCGGCUCUCUGGUCCGGGUCUGACGCUGAGGCGCGAAAGCGUGGGGAGCAAACAGGAUUAGAUACCCCCGUAGUCC
rnacentral:rRNA from 1 species